UUAGGAGAUGAUUAUAGUGCUCACAUUAUUGUCCACACAUUAUCACACACCCACAUGAGGAACUGGUGCAAACAGUUCCUCCUGCAGACACACGCACACACUCACUCACUCAAGAGUGUGGGACCGCCCCACCCUCUACAUUCUUGUACUCUAUGCUUUGCUAUAAAUAAAGGGACAAGGAACUAUUCAGCGCGUCUCUGCCUCAGAACGUGAGCUGAGCAGGGUGCCCUUGUACAAGAAAUCUCUUUGUCUGUGUUUGAUCUGUUUCUCUCCUCUCAGUUCUGUGAUCCAGGUUGGAGUCAGCCCGCUGGAGGCGGUAAUCCUCUGACAUAAUUCUUGGUCCUUCGAGCCGGAUGGGAAGCCUGAGAUCCCGCUGAGUGGUUAACCUGAAGUCUGUCGACAGCCAGUCACCCAGGGUGUCUGAAAAGACCCAGGACGUGAAUUCGGACCUGGGCCAGGGUUAGAACCAACCCUCACGGUGAUUCUCUGGUUUUCCAUCCGAACUACAGAUCACCAGAACGGGAAAAGUGAAGCCAGGAGACUGGGUCCUAAUCAAGGUGUUCCAGCGACGUAGUUGGAGCGCCCCCAAGUGGGAAGGCCCAUAUCAAGUAUUGUUGACCACACCAACAGCCAUAAAAAUAGCAGAACGACCAUCGUGGAUUCAUCUGACCCACUGCAAGUUAGUAACCGAGGCAGUCAAAGAGUUGCAUAGUGACAGAGACUAGAGUUUCCUAUAGGGCAGUCUACUGGACAGUAUGCAGGACUAGCCUGAUGCGUCUGGGGACACAGACUGAUUAGUCUGGCACUAUAGGCUAGUGAAGAAAUCAACGCGGAUGCCUUGGCAGGCCAAACCGCCCUAUGUAAUCUCUGCAGGUGACUGACCUACAGGUUAUUCAACAUGAGGUCUGUUCGAUCUAAAACUGGCAUUGUGGCUCUUAUUGCAACAUUGACUAUUCUGCUACUCUUAUUAACAGUACUAGAGACUGAAUAUGAACGACAGCGAAGAACACAUCAACACUCCGGUGACUCAACAUGGGAAGAAAACACAUGGUAUCGUGCUAUGAACUGGACUGCAUACAGCAGUAAUCUAUACUUAUUUUGCUGUGUGCUAUUUCUACUUGCAUUAUUCCAUGUAUUCGUACUUGCAUUACCAGACUUGUUGAUUUCAGAGUCUCUGCAGCUCUCGUCCGUUACGAUCCAUUGCCUCACAAAGACACACCUGGAGGUGUAGACUCGUCAACGGAUUCUGAGGGCUCUGAGGCAGAAGACUCCGUUUAGAUGAAUGUUUAAGUCAUGCAUAUCCUCUAUGACGUGUUAACAGAAAACAGAAAUGAGUUGUUAAUUACUGAUAUCAUGGAAAUGUAUGUCUUAUCCUACCUGUACAUUAUUGUAAAUAUCCAUGCAUUAAUGUGAUCAACAGGAGGGAAUGUUAGGAGAUGAUUAUAGUGCUCACAUUAUUGUCCACACAUUAUCACACACCCACAUGAGGAACUGGUGCAAACAGUUCCUCCUGCAGACACACGCACACACUCACUCACUCAAGAGUGUGGGACCGCCCCACCCUCUACAUUCUUGUACUCUAUGCUUUGCUAUAAAUAAAGGGACAAGGAACUAUUCAGCGCGUCUCUGCCUCAGAACGUGAGCUGAGCAGGGUGCCCUUGUACAAGAAA